rnacentral:misc_RNA from 1 species
CAAGCAUGCGCGGUGACGUGAUUGGAGAUACAGAGUAGAGUGAUCACGUGAUAGCUGUCUGAUUGACAAGUUAGAAAAGUAACAUAAUUUAAAAGGCCUCCAAGACAACAAGUUUUGUGCGAAGAGCUGCACCUUUCCCCUCAUGCGGUCGUUGACUGGAUUUCCUUUUGCCGAGAGGUUUGCUUAUUUUGGGCGGAAAACAAUUCCACCAAACUCGGAGGUCCGGGUAAAGUCGUAGAAAUCGACGAGGCGAAAAUCGGCAAGAGGAAAUUCAACUGUGGCCGAAUAAUAAAGGGGAACUGGAUCUUCGGUGGAUACGAACGGGAAUCUGGAAAAAUAUUUUUAGUUCCCGUUCCAGAUUGCACAGGAGAAACUUUGCUGGGUGUUAUUAAAGAGUGGAUCCUACCUGGAACAACGAUAAUGUCAGAUUGCUGGAAGUCGUACAAUUGUUUAAACAAUGAAGGCUUCCAGCAUCUGACAGUGAAUCACAGUGAAUUUCGUUGAUCCAGGUACUAGAGCCCACACACAACACAUCGAACGCGUUUGGAGAGAAGUUCGAGCUAAUAUCCCGCGUUACGGGACACGCACUUCCCACUUAGCGGGAUAUUUAGCCGAAUUUCUUUUCAAACGCGUUCAUAAGUUCGAAGAUCGACUCAGCAGUUUCUUCUGUGCGAUUACCCAAUUGUAUCCACCGAAGUUCCAGGAUGUCGCGGAGGCCGCAACAUCUACCUAAUUUCGAAAACCAUAUAUCAUACUUUGCAUUUGUUUGAAAGGAACAUUGUUUUUUCACACGCUUUUUAUGCUUAUUUUGUUCAUAGUAUACUUUAUAGCAGCGAAAUGUAAGAUUACUUGUGUUAAUUUCCAAAUUGCUAUUACACUUCGGACACUGUAUUUCUUUGUUUAUUAAAUGAUGCUCAUUGGCAAAUAAAAAGAUAA